rnacentral:rRNA from 1 species
UACGGAGGAUCCAAGCGUUAUCCGGAAUCAUUGGGUUUAAAGGGUCCGUAGGUGGAUAAUUAAGUCAGGGGUGAAAGUCUGCAGCUCAACUGUAGAAUUGCCUUUGAUACUGGUUAUCUUGAGUUAUGGUGAAGUGGCUAGAAUAUGUGGUGUAGCGGUGAAAUGCAUAGAUAUCACAUGGAAUACCGAUUGCGAAGGCA